rnacentral:lncRNA from 1 species
GUCCGUGACUGAAACCUCCCCGCCCCCGCCGCCUCCUCCCCCCGCGCCGGGGGAACCUCGCACACAUGUGACCCGGGAAACCAUGACAACCUCCCGCCGGGGACUGCGGCCCGCAGCGCGCCCCCCCACCCCGCACUGCCGGGAGGAGCGGGCGGGCGGCGGGAUGCGGCGCUCCUCUCAGGCUCCGGCCCCGCCGAGGGGGUUCCGCCGUCCCUGCGGUAUUUCACCGCUCAUUGCCGUUGUGCUUUUUUUUGUGGGCCACGGACGACCAUAAAGAGAUCCCCGCAUCGCUCGUAUGCGUAGAUACGCCAUACGUUCAUAGUCACAUAACGUAGGAAGCGCAGUGUCAGAAAACGCCUCCGGUCAUCUGGCUGCCUCGAGGUCCACGAUCACCACAUCUAGAGAAAGAAACAAUUGGAAAAGACAAAAGUUCCCUUUCAGCGCUGCCUCCCUGCCCGCGCUGCGGGGUCCGCCCGGUGCGGUGAGCAGGUGCUGCCGUCGCUGCCGUGCGCUCAGGGCUGCAGGCAGUGCCCGCGGGCCCGCUUUGUCACGGAGCUCUGCGGAAUGCUGCUCGGAAGUGGAGUCCUGGGAAGGCAUGAAAACCGGUUUGUAGUCGCCUCAGCGUGUGGGGAUGACAGCAGCAUGGAAUCAUUAAGGUUGGAAAGACCACUACAGUCAUCUAGUCCAACCGUCAGCCCAUCCCCACCAUCCCGCUAACCCAUGUCCCUCAGUGCCACAUCUCCAUGUUUCUUGAGCACCUGCAGGGGCAGUGACUCCGUCACCUCCCUGGGCAGCCUGUGCCAGCGCCUCACCACUCUUGCUGAGAAGAAAUUGUUCCUAAUAUCCAACCUGAACCUCCCCUGGUGCGAUUUGUGGCUAUUUUCUCUCACCCUAUCACUGUUACCUGGGAGCAGAGACCAACUCCCACCUCGUCACAACCUCCUUUCUGGCAGUGUAGAGAACAAUAAGGUCUUUCCUGAGCCUCCUCUUCUCCAGACCAUCGCAGUUCCCUCAGCCGCUCCCCAUCAGACGUGUGUUCCAUAUCCUUCACAGCUUUGUUGCACUUCUCUGGACACGCUCCAUGGCCUCGAUGUCCCUCUUGUAGUGAGGGGCCCACAGCUGAGCACAGAAAUUUCUGUCAGCCCUGGGUUUGUGCACAAAAUGAAUCAAUGGCCCAAAGGUCCAAGCUCAGGACCACUCUGCUGUUUGGAAAUUGCUUUUACUGGACACUCGCCAUUAUUUCAGCUGCCCUGAAAUGUACUUCAAAGAGACUUGGUGAGAAAAAUAGUCAAAAAUCAAGUUUGUCUCAGCAAGGAGAUAAUGAAUGUAUCUUGAUGACGAUGUGGCUUCAGCAAGUAACAAGAAGAAAAUGUAGCAAUCUCUGUGGUGCUUUUUUUCAUUCAAGCUAUGACCUCAAAGCCAUUUUUAAUUGGAUGCAUUUCCAAAUGAAGCCACUGCUCCCUGUAGAAGCAUUUUUCCAGUUGCACCUGGUUCACAAAUUGGACAUUAUGAACUUGGCAAACCCGUACAGUGAGUGAUCUGUGUUUAGGGGUGAUACCUCUGCUCUACAGCAGGUGAAAGACACCUCUACCAACAGAGUAUAGGACACUGUUCAGCAGUGUCUUGUGGCUUGCUUUCUCUCUGUGGGAAAAGCCAGUAUGGAGCACUGAUGAACAAAAUGAAGUUCACGGCUAUUUAGCACUGCCCAGCAUGAGAGAUAUCUCCAUAACCACACUAAGUCCUGAAGACAGGCCAUGAGCACACCCUACACUGCAGAAGGCUGCUCCUUCAGCAGGCACUGGGAACGCUGCAGCUUUCUUCUGGUGGCCAGGAGCCCUGGUUUCAGCCAAAGCACAGUGCCAACAUCACAUCAAUGCUGUGGUUGCUGCUGAGCAAUGGGAGCUUCCUGGGGCCCUUUAUGCGUGUCAGCAGGAGGUGGACAGAGCCCAGACAGGUGACCUAAAUUAGGCUGAGGGUUAUUCCAUACCUAUGUGACUGUAGAUAGCUGGCUUAGGGCUGACUGCUGCAAGAUCAAUGGGAUGGAAUGGUCUUAUGUUGUUUGUGGGCUGUUAAAUUAUUAGUUGGGCAUUGGUCAGUGAGUAAUUGCACUGUGGAAAUUACAUAUGUAUAGUUGUCAUCACAUUUUUUAUUAUUCUAUUUCCUUUUAUCAAUCUUAGCUUUCCUUUUAUCAAUCAAUAGCUUUCAUCUUAGCCUACUGGCAUAUCUCAACCAUACCUGUCCCUACAAAGUACUGCCAUGGUGCCAUGUAGCCACAUACAUUGCUGUCGCAAAGAAUCAUGUGCAGCAGGAGGGCUGACACCUGUAUGUUAUGGACAGGUGCUUCUCUUGGUCAUUCUAAAAGGAGCUUUAGCUAGAAAUGCCAAACUGGCUCAUUUACAAGUCUAGCUGCUCAAAGCCCUCUAACAGUGAGCUCUCCUGUUUGUGAUCAGGUUGAGAUAUGCCUGAACUUUGAGGAAACCAGGAACUGUUGACACUUGGUCCAACUAUCCACUUGGUGUCUAUGUUCUGUGAGCAUGUAAUAUUCCAUUUACUGGAGUCUUCAGGACUGAAUGGAUUGUUAUCUCUGAGGUUUUCUCCCAGCCAGACAAGGCUGUCUGUUAAUCCAGGAUUUAUCAGCAGCACUGUCUUUCACCAUGUAGUCAAGGACUACUCAGGCUUGCUAGAGCAUCCCAUUCUCCCAGACAUCAUUAGAGUGAAAGGAGAUUCCUCCUCUGGGGACAUCCUCAGGAGCCAGUCUUUGAUGUUUGUAGGCAGAACUGGCAUUGUUUGAAUAAGAGGCUCCUAAUUAGUGGCACUCUAAAGAACUACUCUAAUUUUAUAUUUUCAAAACACCCUAAAAUGUGUCUAGGAAGGCAGCUUGAGGUUUGGUGUAUCUCAAAGAAUGGCAGUGAGCUUUGCAGUUCAAGUUGAUGUCUUCUCUUUUCCUUCCUGUUCCAAGGAACUUGCCUUGACUUCAAAUUGCUUUUAAAUCCUUGUAAGGGGAACAGCUGUCCCAGAAUGUGUUACACUCCAGCAGAGUGAACAGUUAGGAUCAGUUCACACCUCUCUGAUGAGUUUUAUUCGUUUGUACUAAUUUUCAUGUGUCAUUCAGCAGUGAGCAUCAUCUUGACAUGAAAGAAAAUAUAAAACUUCACAAAUCUUUUUGUAUUGAAAAAGGGCUGGGGACAACACUACCCUGACAACUGCCAAGAAAAUUAAAUGAGGACUCCUGUUAUCUCCUUUCCUCCUUGCCAGUAGGUGCCCUCUUCUUAACACUGCUUACCAGCUUUGUGUGCCAAUCUGUUGCUUCAUCUGCUUUGAGGUGGUGGAAAAACUAGGAGAAUACAGGUAGCAGCUGAAAAAUAGCAUGUGCUGCAUCUCCUACAUGACAGCGCUAGCCAGCAUAUUUUGGAAACAGGUUGGGACUGCUUCUGUCAGAGAUCAGAGACAGAUCAUUUCUGAGUACACAGAGGAUACUGAACAGAAUGCAGAAGGGAGGGCAGACCCUAAAGGCUUAUUUUUACCAGGGUGAAUGAAGGCUUAGUAAGUUUAAUAAACUUGAGCUAAAUAUGUCAAUCCAGCAACCUUCUUUGUGCUAGCUUUCAACCAUUUGCCUGAUAGGGGCAUCUUUCUCCAGUGCUCCCAAAGGUGUUCUCAACACCCAUCUUCUCAUUAACCCUAACCCUAGCUGAGCUCUGCAAUGCAGUACAGGGAGAGGGGCAGAAGUAUGCUUUUCUCUAGAGUGGAAAGUAAACACCCUACUGGAGUACAAUACUUUUAAAAGUCCACUUUGUCGCCUUCUUGGAGGUGAGAGAGACUAUUGUGACCAGCUGCACAGCCAGCCCUGAAAUAAGAGACCCUGAUCUCUUUAUACGUAGUAGCAUUUGUCCUACAUGGGUAAGCUAACAGCUCACAGCAGUGGUAUUCAAUGGAAAGAGUUUGUAUUGUACUGCAGAAGACACAGGACAAAAACUGGCCCUAAACCUAUUGCAGCAUAUAGAAGAAGGCUGACAUGUGGGAGUAUUUCCUGUUUGUUUGUUUGUUUGUUUAAUUUUUGCUUUGUGCUGACUUAAAUCUUUUGUCUUGACUUCUGAAAUUGUAAAUUCAGACGCACUUUGCAUUUGGCAUGAUUAAAAGCUGCUGCUGACAAGCAACUUGAAAAUGCCUUCAUGUUUUAUGUGUAUUUCAAAAUCUCUUCAGCUGUAUGCCUUUGCAGGCUCUUGAUCUAGCAAUAGCUGGUUUGUACAUUUUGAGCAACGGGUUAGUAAGAAUCACGCACUAUUUCUGAUCUUCCCAAAUACCUUUAAGAUGUCACAUAAAUUGAUCUUUUUUUUUUUCUUCUCAGUUUACAAGGCAGCUCAUGCUGCCUUGCUUGGCAAAUCUUAUUUACUGAAUUCUCUUGUUAACAGAUUUCAGUGGUAGUCAUUCAACCAUAGAUUCUUUCAGCAAUAACAAAACAUGCAGCUGUGCAGGUUCAUUCUUUUUUUUUUUCUUCAGAUUAGAAUGAUAUAUCACUACUAUUAUUGUGCCAAAUCUUUUACCAGAACAUAACCUCUUUAUCAGAAAAAUGUUCAGUUCUAUCAACAGCAUAAUAAACUGGUGUCUGUAAUUCAAGGAUCAAGUGUAAAUGCAUUCCUCAUGACUCUCCCUUGACUUGAUUCUCCAGUUCUUCUCAUACCUUUUGCUCUGGCUGCUCUUACUGUUCUUUUCUUGCUGUGGAUUUGAAGCACCUAACUCUUCCUGUGUUUAACACAUAUCCAGAGGGAGCAAGUAUCCACUUACAUACUCAGGUAAAAUUCUUACUUAUGUUUCUUUACUUUUCUGCUCACUCUAGCUCUACUCAACUCAAAACUGGGCCUUCCAGGAAGUAAUAGCUUCGUGUCUUAUUGUGAACACUACUUACAGUGGUCUCUUCAGUGAAUGAACAGUGAAUGAACAGUGAAUGUAGGUAUGCUUUGAAAUCCAUUGGUUUGUAGUCCUUGGUAUUCAGAAACUGCUGGAUACCCUCUCUUAGAAAAUCGGUCCACUUUAUGUGCCUCAGUUUGGACACUGACAGGCAAUCACUUGUCAUUUCACCAAAAAAAAAAGAGUCAAAUCUUUAAAGUCAGUAUAGUGAGUGCUGAAUUUGCCAUUAAAAGCAAACUUUCCUCUCAUUUUGAUGUAAUGAGAUAAAAUGACAGCAUAGCUGUAGUAGACAGGCUAUUUUAGGGAUCUUAUGCUCAUGCAGUGUCCUGUUCACAAAAAAUGGCAUUCUACACUGUCAACACAACCUGUUAAAUGGCUAACAAACAUCUCUCAAACUACUUGACAACAGCAAGUCAUCAUCAAAUGGAGGUGUUGUUCCCCAGGGACUGACAGUAGGCUGUUUCUGUUCAACAUCUCCCACAGUCUUGUAGAAGUAAAUAUAAAUGUUGCUGAUGCAAUAUCCAGGUGUCAUAGAACCCAGUUAGAAUGGUGGUAUCAGUGAGCUCUGCUAAGCACAAAGCGGCCUGGAUAACUUGUCCAUUUAAAUGAAAUCUUUCUUCACACACCUACAUUUUAAGUGAUUGACUUCAGAACAAAGAGCGCAAGAUGUUUCUACAGAGUGGGAGGAUUUUAUCUUGGAAAGCAGUGCUUCUGAGAGAGUUGAGGGAUCAAAAUGGAGAAACAGCUCAACUUCUCAACUUGAACUCCCAAUAUAAAUCUGUAGCAAAAUGGGCUAAUGAGAUUCUUGGGUGUUUCAGGAGGCAAAAAGUAAAUGGGAAAGGGGGAUUUGCACUUUGUUUGGCACUUUUGAGACCAGGACCAGUGUACAGCCUCUAAUUUUGGUGUUGGUGUGUUUAAAAGAAUAUUGAAAAAUAAGAACUGUGCAGGAAAGAUACAGGAAUACCCAUAAGCUGAAGAAAAUGCCUUACGGUGAAACGACGGGGAAAGCUCAGCAUUUUUAUCAAAAGGAAGAUUGAAAUUUGACCAAAUUAUAAAUGCUUCCAGAAGGGAAAAACACAAGGUAAAGAAGAUUUUUCAAAGUAACCAAGGAAUACAACAAGAAAACAGUGGCUGGAAAUUGAAGUAUAGCCUUCCAACCAUGGUCAAUGAUUAAUAUAUAUUUAACAGCAAAGAUUAAACAGUUGUAAUCCAAGGUUGAAGAGAGGUAGUACAUUUCCUGCCCCUUGACGUCAGCUCUGUAUUCCUGCUUGGAUAACAGCGUUUAUCAAAAAAAUUGUCAUUAUGCAUAGUAAAAGAGGCUUAUACCAAAUGAUCUGAAUGAUAAAGUCUAUUUUGAAUAGUCUAGAUAGUUUAUUAUGAAUAUGAAUACAGUCUAGAUAGUCUGGUAGUUCCUUCCAGCCCCUUUAAUGUAAAGAAUAGAAUAGGUCUUGUUUAUCAGAAGUGGCUCAACAUCUCCUCUUGGAACUAAAACUCUUUAAUGUCUCUAAAUUAAUACUCAAAGUAACCAAUUAUUUUGAGAAGAUUAUGGCUGUGGUCUUAAAAAUUCAGUGUAACAAACUUUUCCACUAUUAAUGCAAAUAAAAAUGGUGCAGUAACUGAAAUAAGGUAUGACACAGAAACUGUCAUACCAUGCAGCAAAUUAUUGAUAUCUCCGAGAUGAAAUGAAACACAAAUAUCCUAAAAUAGUAUGGUAUUUCUUAGCUUUCAUGAAAUAUGAACCGAUAAUGGGAAAUUUAUGGUAAAAAUAAAUAUGCUUUUAAAAAUUUUCAGUCGCUAUUGUGGUUGCUUGAGUAUUAUUUAAAUGUAAAAGAGCUGCAAUGAAUAGAUAGCUUUGCUUUUUACUUCCCGUGAGGUACCUGGAGAAUCUGAUGAUUUGUGAAAAAGGGGAACCUCCUUGCUACAAAACCUCUUCUCCUUUUACUUGUCCUGGGCUUAGCUCUGAAAUCUUCAAAUUAUCUGCUGUGCAGAGAAAACAGGGUUCAAAGGAGUAGAAAUGGCUGUUGGAUGGGCAAAAAAAACCAAAACCUCACAAUUCCUUUCCUUGUAUUGCUCAUUACCUGCCAACUUUCCUCCCACCAAAUAUCUAUUAUAAGUAUUAUUACACAUUUCUUGGGACUUAACUUCCAAAAGGAGCGACUUUAAGCUGCAGAGUCUGUGAUUCUAUAUCCUCUCCCAUGGAAGAGGCAUUAAAUGCAUUUGUUUUGCUUUGCUUUUCUGAUGGAUUUAAUGGCUUUUUUUUUCUUUUUUUUUUUUUUUUUCUCAGAAAAUACUGUUUACUGUUUGCAGAAAGAUUAAAGCGUCUACAUAACUAUUGGUUCAGUAAGACACAUAAGAACCAGCUGAAAUGUUUUCCUGUGUUUGAACCUUAAUCUAGUAGUAGUAUUCCUGCAAACAUUCAUCCUGUGAAAACUAAGAAUAGUAUUAUUCUGACCCUAAUUGAUGAUACGUUUCUUUCUACCUUUGGGUGUCUCUGCAGAUCUACAGCCAACUUGAAUUGAGUGGACACACCAGGCUGUGUGACUGGCAGCUUUGUGCAUUAGUGGGCAUCAGACCUGAGUUCAGCUAUUGCCGAGUCUGUGAGGGAAGGUGUGUGGCUGGAAUUGGAAACACUGGAUUUGAGAGAAGAACCUUAAUUCAAACCAGCAGGCUUUAAAGGACAAAUGUGGACAGUUCAGAGCUGUGUGCUAGAGAGCCAAGUCUUCAGUUUGUCUCAGAAUGGUUUGUUUAUAAGAACUGGCAAAUGUGCUUUUGAUUAAAGACAAACAUCCAAAUGCACUGACUUCUACAGAUUCUGGAACAGAAGGACUCUCACUCUCAUUUAUGCGUGCACACAUAAAUAUAUGUCUAUAUCUGAUAUUACUGUUUUUAUUUUGGUAGAACCUAGAGACCCCAUCACAUUAAUCAUUCUACAGAUGCAAUGUAAGUAUCUUAACAUAGUUGGCUUUCGGUAAGGUAAGACUUGCUAGUUAGUGUGGGUUUAUGGAUCUUAUUAUUCCAUCUUAAGGAUGAGAUUAUUUUUUAUAUUUUUAUCUUGAAAGAGAAAUAUUUACAUUUUUAAGUAAAAUCUGUAACUGUACCACCCUUUCAAUAUUCCAACUUUAGCCCCAAGAGUAGAAGACAGUGCCAGACAUGCAUUCCCUUGUGUUUUUUAUCGUUGAUUUUGGUAUGCUCUAUUUUUAUUCAAUUCUAUGGGAAAUGCAUACACUUUGUGCAGUUGCCAGAAUGCGAUUCCCCAAUGCCCUCUCUUUAUUUCCAAGUGUUCUUUUUUCAGAUUCAAGUCCUCUUGCGACAGCACUUUCUCUUGUUUGAUCAAGUAAUCCUUGCUCAUACUGAACCCAUUUGCUGAGGACAACACUUAUGUACGCGGAGCUGAAAGGGCAGACAUCUGAGUUAAGGAAAGUCUCCCACCCUGACAGUAAUGAAUUACCCAGCAGAGCCUUCAAGCAAAUAGGAAAAGGAAGAAAUGUGGUCUCAAGGACAGAUAGGUAGGUUGGUAGUCUUUCGUAUUUCUUCGUCCUGCCUUGAGUUAUACCUCAUAGCUCAGGUGUGUGCUUGUUCCCAGAGGUUUGAUCUACAUGGCUGCUUGAAGAGAGGGUUAUACACACUUCCC